rnacentral:tRNA from 1 species
GAGGGUAUAGCUUAGUGGUAAAGUGCUUGCUUAGCGUGCUUGAGGUCCUGGGUUUAAUCCCCAGUACUGCCA